GUACGUCUUCGGCGUACACGUCUCUCUCUCUCUCUCUCCUCCCCUAAACCCUACGCUGCCCUUCUUUCCCUCCCCGUCUCUCCCUCCCGUGCGGGCGGCGGAGCUGAUGAGAUCCCGGCCAUGGCGGGCCCCACCUCGCGGCUCCUCAUCCUCGCCCGCCGCGCCGACCGACGCAGAUGCCUCCCUUUUCUCGUUCCCCGCGCCUUGCAGGCCGCCCCCCCGACCUUUUCUCCGGCGUUGCCGCUACCUCCCUGCCUCCCCGCCUCAACGCCGGUGAUGAGCUAUUCAAGUGCAUUUACAAGUGUACAUGGAGAGAGGCCUUCAUCAGAAUAUGCAAAGAUCAGGAAGGAGUCACUGGAAACCCAGUUUGGAAGAAUAUUGGGUUCAAGUUCACGCAGGCAUUUUGCUGACCGUGGCUUUGGUCCAUUCCUUGCUCUAUACAGGGCUGCUACUAUCUCCUUUCAUGUUGUAAAACUCACUAUUUGGCAUUUGUUGCUCAAUGAUAUGCAUAAAAGAGCAGAAAAGGUAGUUUUCCUGACUUUGUUGGUGGAGGAACUGAGCAUCAUGUCUCUGAUUAUCAUUUCCUUAUUUCAGUUUCGAGAGACCUUGAUACGCUUGGGUCCUUUUUAUAUCAAGCUUGGCCAAGCAUUGAGCACACGCCCUGAUAUACUUCCUAGUGCGUACUGUCAGGAGCUUGCAAAGCUACAGGAUCAAAUACCACCGUUUCCAACUCGCAUUGCACUCAGGACCAUAGAGUCUCAGUUGGGUUCUCGAAUUUCUGAUUUGUUUGCUGAUAUCAGCCCAGAGCCGAUUGCAGCAGCAUCACUGGGGCAGGUUUACAAAGCUCAUCUACGAUCUGGAGAGCUUGUUGCAGUCAAAGUUCAAAGGCCUGGAAUGGCGCCCUUGCUGACUCUAGAUGCACUUUUGUUCCACAUGAUUGGAGGACAAAUGAAACGAUUUGCUAAGGCUCGCAAAGACCUAUUGGUGGCCGUUAAUGAGAUUGUCAGACACAUGUUUGACGAGAUUGAUUAUAUUUUAGAAGGAAAAAAUGCUGAAAGGUUUGCUACUCUUUAUUCACAUGUUGAUUUUCUGGCAGGUUCAAGUGGGGUCAAUUCUGAAGCUAGUACAAGUAUCAAGGUCCCAAAAGUUUACUGGAACUAUACAUGUAAAACCAUAUUGACACUGGAAUGGAUUGAUGGAAUUAAGCUAACUGAUGCUGAGCGCAUCAGCAAAGCCAAUUUGAACAGGAAAAGAAUGAUAGAUGAGGGUCUCUAUUGCUCAUUGCGACAACUGCUUGAAGAAGGGUUUUUCCAUGCAGACCCCCAUCCUGGUAAUCUAGUUGCAACUGAAGGUGGAUCUCUAGCAUAUUUUGACUUUGGUAUGAUGGGAGAUAUUCCGAGGCACUAUCGUGUGGGGCUUAUACAAAUGCUUGUACAUUAUGUUAAUCGGGACUCCUUAGGCUUGGCGAAUGACUUCCAUUCACUAGGAUUUGUUCCUGAGGGAACAGAUUUACUUGCAGUUGCAGAUGCGUUGCGGUUUUCCUUUGGUGAUGUCAGGAGGCAAUCAAAUGAUUUCCAGGGCGUAAUGAACCAUUUGUAUGAUGUGAUGUAUGAAUUUAGUUUCUCCCUUCCCCCUGAUUAUGCGUUGGUGAUAAGAGCUCUUGGUUCUCUAGAAGGGACUGCAAAAGCACUGGAUCCUGAGUUUAAAGUUAUUGAGAGUGCAUAUCCUUUUGUAAUUGGGAGACUCCUUGCAGACCCCAGCCCUGAUAUGAGGAAAAUAUUGCGGGAGCUUCUUAUAUGUGACGAUGGAUCCAUCAGAUGGAAUCGACUGGAAAGGCUGUUUCAUGGACCUAUCCUUUCUGUGAACAUGAUUACUAAUUUGUGGUAGCCCUCUUGACACAUAGAACCACUAAGGUAAGAUUGAAGGGAGUAUCCAGCCUAUAGAUGUGGAAUUAUUAACAACUUUUACUGUUGACCAUCUAUUUUUUUGGGAUCCUGUAUUUUGUUUGGGCUGUAUGAUCUGAGCUAGCUCAGUUUGUGGGAAUACUCACACCACUCAGGUUCGAGUUGUAUUUGGCUUGAAUAUGAUCAACCUGCAGGGGGGUAAGACAACUCCGGGCAUUGCAUUAAGAAGAACUUCUCACACAGAGAGGAUUUUCCUAACCCUAGACUGAAUAUCCUUUCUUGUGGGAGUCAAACUCAGGUCCUGCAGAGGCUAUCAAGUCACAUAACCAUCUCAGCUAGAGUCCCUUUCACUUAUCUGUUUCUUCUUACUUACAACAUGACAUGGUUCCUUCUACUUCGGUCGACUUUUUAAAUAUAUAUUCUGUGCAAGUACUGCAGUGUUGCUCAAAGAAAAAUUUGGGUUGGUCCAGUUCUGGUAGUGGUACCUAUGAUCUAAGAGCCACUUCAUAAACUACAGCUAUUUGUUCUCCUGUUAACACCAAUCAACGAGUUUUCACAACCCUGAUGGUAGUGCUGAUUGGUCCCACCCCUUAGACAGACAAGUAUGCAUCAACCAUCCUGGGUGUCCUCAUCACAUCCAGGUUGUCUGGAAGGACAGAUGUAAUCAUGUUGCCAUUUAAAAGGGUGCUAAAGCUGUAGUUUUGUGUUACUAUGGUGCAAUAGUUGCAGUUCCUUGAAACUGGUCCUAGGAGUUGAAGUUUGAGUUAGGCACACAAAAUUGUAUUCUGUGAAAUAAUAUGGUGUUAGGAUCGUAAUUGCAAUUUUUUAAUCGUAGUUUAUUGAGUUAGGCACACAAAAUUGUAUUCUGUAAAAUAAUAUGAUGAUAGGAUUGUAAUUGCAAUUUUUAAUGUUUUAAGCUUCAAAUAUGCAACAGAGGAGAAAUUUCGAUAAUCUGAAAAUUUUAAUGCAACAAAUUGGGUUAUCUUUGCUGGAAAUGGGUCAUGGUCUCUAUCCUGUUGUUGGUUCUAAUUCUUGUGUUGGGUUUGGGUAGUAACUUAGUGUGAUGAGAAAUUUUACAGAUAUUUGUUUUUUAUUUGUUCCUACUAACAACAUUUGGUUUUUAGAUUGCAGCUAUAUCUGAACAGUCAUCAGAAUCUUCAAGCGCAUCAGGAGCUGACUCCAGUGAGAACGCCAAUGGAAGUCCUGAGUGGAGAUCAUUUGAUAUGCAUUCUGUGAUUGCAGCUACAGAAGACCUAUUUGAUUUCAUUUUAUCGAGGAAAGGAUGGCGGGUUCGGGUUUUCCUUGUCCAGGACAUCGUUAAUGCUUCAGACGUGUUCCUUCAAGAAGCGACAUUCCCAUAUGUAUAUGCGAAAGUGGGAAAGAUAGGGGACCUAAAUCCAGAGAGAAGUAAGAUGAUCAGGAGGCUGGUGAAUACUGUGCAAUCGUUCCGCCAAGCUAUCAAUUUGGCUCCAGAUGCUUGGAGCGCCAUGCUAAUCCGCACUUUGUUGAAACCUGAAUCACAAAAAUUUGUUCUUGAUGUGUUUUUGGCCCUGGCUAACCAUUCCAGUUACAAGAUUCCAGAAACAUUCUGGCUAUUUAUGUCAAGAUUUCUAAAUUACUUGGACAAACAAGAUAUACUUUAGGAACGGUUAAUAUAUCAAUUCCUUUUUUUUUGUUA